AAGACUAUAAGCAGAGGACACAGAAGA
rnacentral:piRNA from 2 species